UUAGCUUAAUGAUAGAGCAUUCAGUCAGUAUCUGAGGUGUACAGGUUCAACUCCUGUA
rnacentral:tRNA from 1 species